GGUAGAGACCGAUAAAGAUAUGUUGACUAUUCUAAGGAUACAGAAUAAGUGAGUCUUACUGACGAUACUGUCUCCGAGGAAGGCUAGGGGUGGAUGUGUCUAAGGACACGGGACUACCGGAUUUGUUGAUGACGAUUUUGGUUAAGAAAGUGAGGGCAGUAGACACCGUCCCCGAUUGGAUAUAAGACGGUUGGUGGAUCAGGAAGGGUUUCAGCCGUCCUCGCGAGAAAGUUGCUAACGG